UGGGGAAUAUUGCACAAUGGGGGAAACCCUGAUGCAGCGACGCCGCGUGAGCGAAGAAGGCCUUCGGGUCGUAAAGCUCUUUUAUGAGGGAAGAUAAUGACGGUACCUCAAGAAAAAGCCCCGGCUAACUACGUGCCAGCAGCCGCGGUAAUACGUAGGGGGCUAGCGUUGUCCGGAAUCACUGGGCGUAAAGGGUUCGCAGGCGGAAUAACAAGUCAGAUGAGAAAGGCAUGGGCUCAACCCAUGUAAGCAUUUGAAACUGUAAUUCUUGAGAAGUGGAGAGGUAAGUGGAAUUCCUAGUGUAGCGGUGAAAUGCGUAGAUAUUAGGAGGAAUACCUGUGGCGAAGGCGACUUACUGGACACAAAUCUGACGCUGAGGAACGAAAGCGUGGGUAGCAAACAGG
rnacentral:rRNA from 1 species